GGUUUCUCUUCAGAUCGUAUAAAUC
rnacentral:piRNA from 4 species